CUGUUAAGGAAAGAUGUGUCUCAGCUAGUGUCUCCUUUAGGGAAAAGAUGUGAGAGGAAGUAGGGGCGAAGGAGGGGCGAGGGAGGGAGAGGGGGAACAAGCCACCACAGGAAGCUUCAAAUAAAUUGAAGUCAGGAAUCAUGCCUCCAUGUCCUCAGAACAGCAGAUCUACAGAAAGGAGGGGAAGAGGGUGUGUGUAGGCACCUCCGCACUGCAAGAGAGAGGAAAUGACAGACUGAGAAAAAGGAAACGGGGACAGAGAUAAUCAGAGUAGAAACGGAGAACGAGGUAAGAGACAGAGAUAAUCAGAGUAGAGACGGAGAAUGAGGUAAGAGACAGAGAUAAUCAGAGUAGAGACGGAGAACGAGGUAAGAGACAGAGAUAAUCAGAGUAGAGAUGGAGAACGAGGUAAGAGACAGAGAUAAUCAGAGUAGAGACGGAGAACGAGGUAAGAGACAAGAGAUAAUCAGAGUAGAGACGGACAACGAGGUAAGAGACAGAGAUAAUCAGAGUAGAGACGGAGAACGAGGUAAGAAACAGAGAUAAUCAGAGUAGAAACGGAGAAUGAGGUAAGAGACAGAGAUAAUCAGAGUAGAGACGGAGAAUGAGGUAAGAGACAGAGAUAAUCAGAGUAGAGACGGAGAACGAGGUAAGAGACAGAGAUAAUCAGAGUAGAGACUGAGAACGAGGUAAGAGACAGAGAUAAUCAGAGUAGAGACGGAGAACGAGGUGAGAGACAGAGAUAAUCAGAGUAGAGACGGAGAACGAGGUAAGAGACAGAGAUAAUCAGAGUAGAGACGGAGAACGAGGUAAGAGACAGAGAUAAUCAGAGUAGAGACGGAGAACGAGGUAAGAGACAGAGAUAAUCAGAGUAGAGACGGAGAACGAGGUAAGAGACAGAGAUAAUCAGAGUAGAGACGGAGAACGAGGUAAGAGACAGAGAUAAUCAGAGUAGAGACGGAGAACGAGGUAAGAGACAGAGAUAAUCAGAGUAGAGACGGAGAACGAGGUAAGAGACAGAGAUAAUCAGAGUAGAGACGGAGAACGAGGUAAGAGACAGAGAUAAUCAGAGUGGAGACUGAACAUUAUUGAAAGGGAGAGAAUAAGAAGAGGAUUGAACUGGGUGAGCGAGGAGGAGAAGGGAGAACGUGGAGGUGUGUGUGUG